rnacentral:lncRNA from 1 species
GAGCUGCACUGUGGAACCCCCCCCGCCGCCCGGGGCCCUCAGGGCCAGCUGGCACCGGGGCCACCUGGCGACGGGGCUGGGCCAGGCCCGGCUGGAGAACGGCUCCACCAGCGUCCUGAGCAUCCGGGCCCUGCGGGGCAACGACUCGGGCGUCUAUCGCUGCCACCUCGUCCUGCUGCUCUCGGGGCAGCCCUGUCUGCUGCUGGGGUCUGGGACCCACCUCGUCGUCACAGGUCCCCCUGCUCAGAACACGACCCGGCCCGGUCUGCAGGGGAACACAACCCAGUCUGAGCCCGGACAUCGAACGCUGUCCCCACAUCACUGGACCAUCCGGCUGCUGGUGCUGGGAGCAGGAAUCAUUCUCACGGCUGCCGUUGUGCUUUGUCUGCACAGGAGGCGGGGAAGGGAGAACCGGGAAUGAAACCCAUGGCACUCGGCUCCUUUAGGAACUCGAAUAAUUUCUGCAGGGCUGAAAGGAGCCUCGUUCAGAGCUGAAAUGGCACUUUCAACCCUGGAUCCCUCCUGCCCUGUCACCUUCUACUCCUGGGGGGAAUUCUGUGCCACUGCGCGCAUAAUUCAUGUGCUGUGCAUAAUUUCCCGACCCCGCAGAAAAUAACUUCUGCAGGAAAGUUGCUGCAGUUCCACCUUUUGCCCACUAGGGGCCCCUGUGGCUCUAGAACAGAGCAGGGCCACGUGGGGGAAGGGAGGUGGCUGAGUUGGGGCACAGAGACACGUGGGGACAGUGCGAAGGGGCUGCAGGGAUACAGACAAUGUGGCAUUAGCUCUGCCUAGCCUGCUUGAUGGCCCAUUAACGCCCAUCAGCUACAACUGACCCAUUGAGAGAAGCAGAUACACCUGGUGACUCAGCAAGGCAGGGACAGGCCUAUGGACAGAGCUCUGAGGUUUUCCAGGCCAUGUGCUGGAUCGGUGUCUUUGGGACAAAGAAAGCAGAGACCACAUGGCAAGAGACUAUAAAAGGCUGAUGCCUCAUCUCCAUCUUGUCUUCAAUCCUGCUUCAUACCUCUGGAGGGAUUUUGCUACAAACUGAAGCUCUGAACAAAGGACUGAGGACCCAUCCCAGCUGGGGAUGUUCCAGAGACUUGAUUUGAACCUGCAGUUUAUUCUAUCGCUGCUGCAAGCCUGAACCAAGAACUUUGCCAUUACUGUGUGUAAUUGAUUCCAUUUAACCAAUUCUAACUCUCAUCUCUAUCUUUUUCCUUUUAUGAAUAAACCUUUAGAUUUUAGAUUCUAAAGG